rnacentral:rRNA from 1 species
CCUACGGGAGGCAGCAGUGAGGAAUAUUGGUCAAUGGACGAGAGUCUGAACCAGCCAAGUAGCGUGAAGGAUGACUGCCCUAUGGGUUGUAAACUUCUUUUAUAUGGGAAUAAAAUGUUCCACGUGUGGGAUUUUGUAUGUACCAUAUGAAUAAGGAUCGGCUAACUCCGUGCCAGCAGCCGCGGUAAUACGGAGGAUCCGAGCGUUAUCCGGAUUUAUUGGGUUUAAAGGGAGCGUAGGUGGAUUGUUAAGUCAGUUGUGAAAGUUUGCGGCUCAACCGUAAAAUUGCAGUUGAAACUGGCAGUCUUGAGUACAGUAGAGGUGGGCGGAAUUCGUGGUGUAGCGGUGAAAUGCUUAGAUAUCACGAAGAACUCCGAUUGCGAAGGCAGUUCACUGGACUGCAACUGACACUGAGGCUUGAAAGUGUGGGUAUCAAACAGGAUUAGAUACCCCAGUAGUC